UACGUAGGGGGCAAGCGUUGUCCGGAAUUAUUGGGCGUAAAGGGCGCGUAGGCGGAUUGUUAAGUCUGGUGUGAAAACCCAGGGCUCAACCCUGGGGCUGCAUUGGAAACUGGCAAUCUUGAGUGCAGGAGAGGAAAGUGGAAUUCCACGUGUAGCGGUGAAAUGCGUAGAUAUGUGGAGGAACACCAGUGGCGAAGGCGACUUUCUGGACUGUAACUGACGCUGAGGCGCGAAAGCGUGGGGAG
rnacentral:rRNA from 1 species